AGAACCAUCACUCGUCAAUGGCUGACACGCGGUCUUGACAUUGUCUUGGUUCUGCAAGAGCGACUUUCGGCUUCCCCACUUUGGAAUCAGGAAAACUUUCUGAUGUGUUGGGAGGAGAGCACGUCCCUUAUCUGUGAACUUCCCGCCUAAAACUGCCUGAACGUAAAAGGGUUUCUCAGCAAAGCAUGGUCAACGUUGAUAUAAAGGUUCAGGUCAAUCUCUCCAUGAAUCAUUUUUGUCGUUGGCUGGAAUGGUGGAUUGAGUUCUUCUACCACCCUUGUGUUUCAUGUUCAGAUAUGAAGGCAUGUGUUCGUUCCUGGGCUUGUCCACUGUCAACUGGACAAGGCCGGCCCAGCAGAUUAUAGAAGAUUCCCAACAUAAGCACCGUAGCAGUGAAUGUGUUGAAAGGGGAUAGGCCGUUAACGAAAAGAAUGCCCGUUAGCUUCGUAAAGUCAACAUAGUUUUGAUGUGUUGCAGUAACUGGAAGGUUUACGAGGUUAAACGGAAAUCCAUGUUGGUAACAGUCCUUUGACGUUCCUUUCUCCGGAAAUCAGCAGUUCGACAGUUGUAGAAUAUUCUCUAUGGAUGCAACAACUUGCGUGCUCUGCACAGAACUGACAUGCCUUUUAUGGGAUCCUGGAAAUUGAUUACUGAUCUAGAGCUAACAAGUUAUUCCACUACGUUGUGGAGAAAAUGGAGUCAUUCUGAACUGCAAGGGUGAAGAAAAUUGUAGGAGAAGAAAGGACAGAUAUCUAACUCGAGUUCGAAUAUGGAUGUCGUUUGCUGUGGGGUGAGAUGGGUCAAGUUGUCAAUUCCUAUAGGGACAUUCUUAAAGCUUUCCCUAUGUACUGGCAAAAAUCAAGAUCAAAUUAUGGUGAUUGAAUACUCACACACAGGUUUAACAUGGAAGAACUGCAAGUGUUGUUGCAGUGGAUAAAUGGGUGGUGUUUAACAAAUGGAUGUGUACGUUACACAUAAGCCACGAGGAUAUUCAAACUUAACAGCCAUGGAGAUGACUAAGUAAACCUGUUGGAUUGAAGGUGGUUGGUGAAAAAAAAAGAUUGCAGUUCUCCGGGCGUUGUACCGUGCUACAUGGUGACAACGAGCUCAUACCAGGUCUUGUAUUUGGACUCUGAACGUACGUCAAUUUUCUUUCAACGGCCGUCCUAGCAGGUCUGUUGUUGAAGUUCAACGUCGUGAAAUUCAUCUUUGUCGGAUGCCCGUCAGCAGUACUGAGCUGCUCCUUUUUAAAAUGUUUUGUUGCAUUCAUUGCCCAUUGGUGCAAUUACCACGUACAUGAAGCUUUCUGCCAAACGCGAUCGUCCAUACUUCCUGUAAAUGGAGGCUACUAGUGCGUGGGUUGACUAAGUAUAUAGCACGUAGUGGCAUUUAGGCAAGUCUUGAAAAAAAUGGGCUGCUCUGGUUAACGCUCGAAUGAUUUAAGAAAAGUAAUGGAUAGUGAGUGAAUAUGGCGAUGCAGUUGUUCGCUGCAAAUUUCCAUGAACAUAUAUAUGUAUAUAUCUAUAUAUAUAUAUAAAGUAUAUUAGACGGAGACUUGGGUUUUUAUCGUCAAUUUAAAAUGGUAGCACCUGCUGUGUGUUAUUUCUAACAAGGUUACGACAUAUUUCCACAUAGCUUGCCAUUUACGCAGUUAUUUGUUAAACAAGAGUUGAAACAGAAAUUUUGAAAAGUAGAAAGGGAAAGUAUUUUAAGAAAGUGGAACAUUAUAUUGUUUUAUGGUAGUUAUGUUUGUUGCAGCAAGCUCGCAAUGUAAGGUCAAUAAUAACUUGGCAUUGACAGCUUACAGUUAAAAAAAUAAACAAAUUAAUGAAUUCUU